GAGUUUGAUUAUGGCUCAGAUUGAACGCUGGCGGCAGGCUUAACACAUGCAAGUCGAACGGAAGUUACUAGCUUGCUAGUAACUUUAGUGGCGAACGGGUGAGUAACAUUUAGGAAUCUGCCUCAUAACGGGGGAUAGCUCGGGGAAACUCGAAUUAAUACCGCAUACACCCUACGGGGGAAAGGUGGCGCAAGCUGCCGAUAUGAGAUGAGCCUAAAUCAGAUUAGCUAGAUGGUGGGGUAAAGGCCUACCAUGGCGACGAUCUGUAACUGGUCUGAGAGGAUGAUCAGUCACACCGGAACUGAGACACGGUCCGGACUCCUACGGGAGGCAGCAGUGGGGAAUAUUGGACAAUGGGCGAAAGCCUGAUCCAGCCAUGCCGCGUGUGUGAAGAAGGCCAUAAGGUUGUAAAGCACUUUAAGCAGGGAGGAAGAACUUUUAGUUAAUAGCUAAAAGUG
rnacentral:rRNA from 1 species